rnacentral:lncRNA from 10 species
CACAGCUCCUUAAUGAGUCUUGGAAAAAAAGAUAUAAUUUUAAUGUGGUCUUGAUUGCUUUAUUCUCAGGUCAGCCUGAGAAUUUUCUCAUGACGUUAAUUAUUCAUUUUUGUAAGAAGCCUGCAUAAAUAAAAGUACAAGUACCGGGUGUCCAGUGUGGCAUUUCAGGAGCUUGGAGAAAGAGGAUAGAGAAGAGCCCUACAGCUGCAUAACCUCCUGAGAGAGGGCUUCUUUAGUUUGCAAUGGAGAACUGGAGAUGGUGCUCAUUCACAGAUAUCUAACACUCGGAUCUUCACUUUGUCUUUUGAAACUCCAGGCUCUUGGGGAAACUUAGCUUCCUUGGUAUCUUGCUGAUGCCUUCAAAUGGUUGUACUUAUUCUUGUUGUGUUUUUAUACCCAUCUUUUAUAGUUAUUUUCAGUGGAAGGUCUGUCUGAAACCAACGACUCCAUCAUGGUCAGAAGUGGA